rnacentral:rRNA from 1 species
UACGUAGGGUCCGAGCGUUGUCCGGAAUCAUUGGGCGUAAAGAGCUCGUAGGUGGUGUGUCGCGUCUGCUGUGUAAGUCCGGGGCUCAACUCCGGGUUUGCAGUGGAUACGGGCAUGCUAGAGGUAGGUAGGGGAGACUGGAAUUCCUGGUGUAGCGGUGAAAUGCUCAGAUAUCAGGAGGAACACCGGUGGCGAAGGCGGGUCUCUGGGCCACUACUGACGCUGAGAAGCGAAAGCAUGGGGAGCGAACAGGAUUAGA